GCUGCUAUGAUGAGCUGCUAACAUGUAAGAUGAACCUAUCAAAAGAUAGGUUCAUCAAUGAAAUAUAAAUGUUACGCUUGGCUUCUGAGCGCA